GCCACCUUCAGCAAAUAUUUGUACUCCAUUCCUUCAUUCAUUUAUUGUGGAGGAGUGUAUAGAAGAACUAAUUUAAUAUAAAGUUAGAUUUUUUCUGUAGUUAUAAGGUGUCGUGUGGGAAUUUUUACCAUUUUGUAUCUUUUCAUAAGGGUUUCAUGGGGAUGCCCUUAUUUAGUUAUUAUUUUUUUUUCCUAACUUGUUUGGAUUUUCCCGAAGCUUGAACUGCUGCAUUUAAUUAAUGGAAUUUUUUUUCCCAUUUUGCUUAAUUUUAUUAUUUUUCCUUUGGAAUUGUUUACUGUGUUUGGAGUUGUUUACUGUGUUUUUAUCAUUUUCAAAUCACUCUUGAACUUAUCUUGUGUAGGGCAUUUAUAAAGAAGAAAGG
rnacentral:misc_RNA from 1 species